AGCGAACGCUGGCGGCAGGCCUAACACAUGCAAGUCGAACGAACCUUUCGGGGUUAGUGGCGGACGGGUGAGUAACACGUGGGAACGUGCCUUUAGGUUCGGAAUAACUCAGGGAAACUUGUGCUAAUACCGAAUGUGCCCUUCGGGGGAAAGAUUAAUCGCCUUUAGAGCGGCCCGCGUCUGAUUAGCUAGUUGGUUGAGGUAAUGGCUCGCCAAGGCGACGAUCAGUAGCUGGUCUGAGAGGAUGAUCAGCCACAUUGGGACUGAGACACGGCCCAAACUCCUACGGGAGGCAGCAGUGGGGAAUCUUGCGCAAUGGGCGAAAGCCUGACGCAGCCAUGCCGCGUGAAUGAUGAAGGUCUUAGGAUUGUAAAAUUCUUUCACCGGGGACGAUAAUGACGGUACCCGGAGAAGAAGCCCCGGCUAACUUCGUG
rnacentral:rRNA from 1 species